GCCGUUCCACGACGGAAUGCAAACCAGCCUCGAUGCGGCGCAAACGCUCAUUCGCGGCGCAGUGCGCCAUCUGAACAGCGGCGGAGAGUUACGCAUCGUGGCGAACGCCUUUCUGCCCUAUCCUAAGAUUCUGGAUGAGACUUUUGGCUUCCAUGAAGUCAUCGCGCAAACCGGGCGCUUUAAGGUUUAUCGUACCGUGAUGACCCGUCAGGCGAAGAAAUAGUUGGCCUGAUAAGCGCAGCGCCAUCUGGUUGCAUGUGCCGGAUGGCGACGCAAAGCGUCUUAUCCAACCUACGUCUCGCGUCCAUUUUUGCAGCAAUCAAUCUAUCCCAUGCAAUUAACUAUUGACGAAUAGCUGAAAACCACUAGAAUGCGCCUCCGUGGUAGUGAUUCUUUUCAAGAAUCGAUGGUAUG
rnacentral:tRNA from 1 species